CGCUUUACACAUGCAAGUCGAACGGUAACGCGGAGAGAAGCUUGCUUCUCUCCGGCGACGAGUGGCGAACGGGUGAGUAAUACAUCGGAACGUGUCCGCUCGUGGGGGACAACCAGCCGAAAGGUUGGCUAAUACCGCAUGAGUUCUACGGAAGAAAGAGGGGGACCCGCAAGGGCCUCUCGCGAGCGGAGCGGCCGAUGACUGAUUAGCCGGUUGGUGAGGUAACGGCUCACCAAAGCAACGAUCAGUAGCUGGUCUGAGAGGACGACCAGCCACACUGGGACUGAGACACGGCCCAGACUCCUACGGGAGGCAGCAGUGGGGAAUUUUGGACAAUGGGCGCAAGCCUGAUCCAGCUAUUCCGCGUGUGGGAUGAAGGCCCUCGGGUUGUAAACCACUUUUGUAGAGAACGAAAAGACACCUUCGAAUAAAGGGUGUUGCUGACGGUACUCUAAGAAUAAGCACCGGCUAACUACGUGCCAGCAGCCGCGGUAAUACGUAGGGUGCGAGCGUUAAUCGGAAUUACUGGGCGUAAAGGGUGCGCAGGCGGUUGAGUAAGACAGAUGUGAAAUCCCCGAGCUUAACUCGGGAAUGGCAUAUGUGACUGCUCGACUAGAGUGUG
rnacentral:rRNA from 1 species